GCCUGGAUAGCUCAGCUGGUUAGAGCACGGUGCUGAUUAUGCCAAGGUUGCAGGUUUGAUCUCCGUAUGGGACA
rnacentral:tRNA from 1 species